rnacentral:rRNA from 1 species
UACAGAGGGUGCGAGCGUUGUCCGGAAUCACUGGGCGUAAAGCGCACGUAGGCGGCUUUCUAAGUCAGGGGUGAAAUCCUGGAGCUCAACUCCAGAACUGCCUUUGAUACUGGAAAGCUUGAGUUCGGGAGAGGUGAGUGGAACUGCGAGUGUAGAGGUGAAAUUCGUAGAUAUUCGGAAGAACACCAGUGGCGAAGGCGGCUCACUGGACUGGUAUUGACGCUGAGGUGCGAAAGCGUGGGGGAGCAAACAGG